rnacentral:rRNA from 1 species
UGGGGAAUAUUGGACAAUGGGGGCAACCCUGAUCCAGCCAUGCCGCGUGAGUGAUGAAGGCCUUCGGGUUGUAAAGCUCUUUUGGCGGGGACGAUGAUGACGGUACCCGCAGAAUAAGCCCCGGCUAACUUCGUGCCAGCAGCCGCGGUAAGACGAAGGGGGCUAGCGUUGUUCGGAAUUACUGGGCGUAAAGCGAGUGUAGGCGGUUGCCGUAGUCAGGUGUGAAAGCCUUGAGCUCAACUCAAGAAAUGCACUUGAUACUGGGUGACUAGAGGACCGGAGAGGAUAGUGGAAUUCCCAGUGUAGUGGUGAAAUACGUAGAGAUUGGGAAGAACACCAGUGGCGAAGGCGGCUAUCUGGACGGUUACUGACGCUAAGACUCGAAAGCGUGGGGAGCAAACAGGAUUAGAUACCCUGGUAGUCCACGCCGUAAAACGAUGGGUGCUAGACGUUGGCGAGCUUGCUCGUCAGUGUCGCAGCUAACGCGUUAAGCA